UACGUAGGGUGCGAGCGUUGUCCGGAUUUAUUGGGCGUAAAGAGCGCGUAGGCGGCUUGGUAGGUCUGCUGUGAAAACUCGAGGCUCAACCUCGAGACGUCGGCGGAAACCGUCUGGCUAGAGUCCGGAAGGGGAGAGUGGAAUUCCUGGUGUAGCGGUGAAAUGCGCAGAUAUCAGGAGGAACACCAAUGGCGAAGGCAGCUCGCUGGGAAGGUACUGACGCUGAGGCGCGAAAGCGUGGGGAGCAAACAGG
rnacentral:rRNA from 1 species